AACGAACGCUGGCGGCAGGCUUAAUACAUGCAAGUCGAACGCCCCGCCAGGGGGGUGGCAGACGGGAGAGUAGCGCGUGGGGAUCUACCCAUCCCUACGGAAUAACGCAUGGAAACGGGUGCUAAUACCGUAUACGCCCUACGGGGGAAAGAAUUAUCGAGGAUGGAGGAGCUCGCGUUGGAUUAGCGAGUUGGUGGGGUAAAGGCCUACCAAGGCGACGAUCCAUAGCUGGUCUGAGAGGAUGAGCAGCCACAUUGGGACUGAGACACGGCCCAAACUCCUACGCGAGGCAGCAGUGGGGAAUAUUGGACAAUGGGCGCAAGCAUGAUCCAGCCAUGCCGCGUGAGUGAUGAAGGCCUUAGGGUUGUAAAGCUCUUUCACCGGAGAAGAUAAUGACGGUAUCCGGAGAAGAAGCCCCGGCUAACUUCGUG
rnacentral:rRNA from 1 species